UAGCUCUCUGUGUUCUGUAUUCUUAUUAGUUCAUAAUCUAGAAUACAUGUAUUCUUAUCAGUUUGUUUAUCUAGCCCGUCGUGCUGUGUAUUCUGGUUAGUACGUGUGUGUAUGUGUUUCCCUUGCAGUGUAUGAGAGGCCGCCCGUGAGGAAGUUGCCAAUCUGGUCGAGGCAUGCUGCUAUUCUCUAUAUCCGGUAGCACAAACAUUUAAAAGUUUGAACACCAAACCCUGGUAAGUUCUUCUUAACAAAAACCCAUUCCUCAUAUUUGUUCCUUUUUUCGUAGGUUGAAGUUAAAACAAGAUGGAGAUGUGUGUAUGUAUACAUGUGUUU
rnacentral:lncRNA from 1 species